rnacentral:rRNA from 1 species
AUAAUGGAAUGAGCGGCGGAGGGUGAGUAACACGUAGGCACCUGCCUGUAAGACUGGGAUAACUCGUGGAAACGCGAGCUAAUACCGGAUAACACUUUUCAUCUCCUGAUGAGAAGUUGAAAGGCGGCUUUUGCUGUCACUUACAGAUGGGCCUGCGGCGCAUAGCUAGUUGGUAAGGUAAUGGCUUACCAAGGCGACGAUGCGUAGCCGACCUGAGAGGGUGAUCGGCCACACUGGGACUGAGACACGGCCCAGACUCCUACGGGAGGCAGCAGUAGGGAAUCUUCCGCAAUGGACGAAAGUCUGACGGAGCAACGCCUCGUGAGUGAUGAAGGUUUUCGGAUCGUAAAACUCUGUUGUUAGGGAAGAACAAGUGCCAUAGUAACUGAUGGCACCUUGACGGUACCUAACCAGAAAGCCACGGCUAACUACGUGCCAGCAGCCGCGGUAAUACGUAGGUGGCAAGCGUUGUCCGGAAUUAUUGGGCGUAAAGCGCUCGCACGCGGUUCUUUAAGUCUGAUGUGAAAUCUUACGGCUCAACCGUAAACGUGCAUUGGAAACUGGGGAACUUGAGUGCAGAAGAGGAGAGUGGAAUUCCCACGUGUAGCGGUGAAAUGCGUAGAGAUGUGGAGGAACACCAGUGGCGAAGGCGACUCUCUGGUCUGUAACUGACGCUGAGGAGCGAAAGCGUGGGGAGCGAACAGGAUUAGAUACCCUGGUAGUCCACGCCGUAAACGACGAGUGCUAGGUGUUAGGGGGUUUCCGCCCCUUAGUGCUGAAGUUAACGCAUUAAGCACUCCGCCUGGGGAGUACGGCCGCAAGGCUGAAACUCAAAAGAAUUGACGGGGGCCCGCACAAGCGGUGGAGCAUGUGGUUUAAUUCGAAGCAACGCGAAGAACCUUACCAGGUCUUGACAUCCUCUGAACACUCUAGAGAUAGAGUUUUCCCUUCGGGGACAGAGUGACAGGUGGUGCAUGGUUGUCGUCAGCUCGUGUCGUGAGAUGUUGGGUUAAGUCCCGCAACGAGCGCAACCCUUGAUCUUAGUUGCCAGCAUUCAGUUGGGCACUCUAAGGUGACUGCCGGUGACAAACCGGAGGAAGGUGGGGACGACGUCAAAUCAUCAUGCCCCUUAUGACCUGGGCUACACACGUGCUACAAUGGAUGGAACAAAGGGAAGCGAACCCGCGAGGUCAAGCAAAUCCCACAAAACCAUUCUCAGUUCGGAUUGUAGGCUGCAACUCGCCUACAUGAAGCCGGAAUCGCU